rnacentral:misc_RNA from 1 species
GAAAUGCGAUAAGUAAUGUGAAUUGCAGAAUUCAGUGAAUCAUCGAAUCUUUGAACGCACCUUGCGCUCCUUGGUAUUCCUUGGAGCAUGCCUGUUUGAGUAUCAUGAAAUCUUCAAAGUAAAUCUUUUGUUAACUCAAUUGGUUUCUACUUUGGUAUUGGAGGUCUUUGCAGCUUCACACCUGCUCCUCUUUGUUCAUUAGCUGGAUCUCAGUGUUAUGCUUGGUUCCACUCGGCGUGAUAAGUUAUCUAUCGCUGAGGACACUGUAAAAGGUGGCCAAGGUAAAUGCAGAUGAACCGCUUCUAAUAGUCCAUUGACUUAGACAAUACUUUUAUGAUCUGAUCUCAAAUCAGGUAGGACUACCCGCUGAACUUAAGCA